GUGGGGAAUAUUGGACAAUGGGGGGAACCCUGAUCCAGCCAUGCCGCGUGUGUGAAGAAGGCCUUUUGGUUGUAAAGCACUUUAAGCGAGGAGGAGGCUACCGAGAUUAAUACUCUUGGAUAGUGGACGUUACUCGCAGAAUAAGCACCGGCUAACUCUGUGCCAGCAGCCGCGGUAAUACAGAGGGUGCAAGCGUUAAUCGGAUUUACUGGGCGUAAAGCGCGGGGAGGUGGCCAAUUAAGUCAAAUGUGAAAUCCCCGAGCUUAACUUGGGAAUUGCAUGCGAUGCUGGUUGGCUAGAGUAUGGGAGAGGAUGGUAGAAUUCCAGGUGUAGCGGUGAAAUGCGUAGAGAUCUGGAGGAAUACCGAUGGCGAAGGCAGCCAUCUGGCCUAAUACUGACACUGAGGUGCGAAAGCAUGGGGAGCAAACAGGAUUAGAUACCCGAGUAGUCC
rnacentral:rRNA from 1 species